rnacentral:rRNA from 1 species
ACUCAAAUGAAUUGACGGGGGCCCGCACAAGCGGUGGAGCAUGUGGUUUAAUACGUCACUAACCGUAGAACCUUACCCAGGCUUGACAUCUGGGGAAUCCCGGUGAAAGCUGGGAGUGCUUCGUAAGAAGAACCCCAAGACAGGUGUUGCAUGGCUGUCGUCAGCUCGUGUCGUGAGAUGUUGGGUUAAGUCCCGCAACGAGCGCAACCCUCAUCCGAUGUUGCCAGCGUAAAGUCGGGAACUCUUCGGAAACUGCCCGUGUAAGCGGGAGGAAGGUGGGGAUGACGUCAAGUCAGCAUGGCCCUUACGCCUGGGGCUACACACAUGCUACAAUGGAUGUUAACAAAGGGCAGCAAGACCGCGAGGUGGAGCUAAUCUCAAAAAUACAUCCUCAGUUCGGAUCGCAGUCUGCAACUCGACUGCGUGAAGUCGGAAUCGCUAGUAACCGCAGGUCAGCUAAACUGCGGUGAAUACGUUCCCGGGCCUUGUACACACCGCCCGU